GGCAUUCUGGGAAAUGUAGUCUCCUUGGCCUGCGCUCUGUAGGAGUGGCAGAACAGUAAGAGAAAUGACAAAGCAAGAGGAACCUAAUACUCUUCCUCAUUGGCCUUCCUGUCUCCAUCUUUAUUCCUUCCAGCUCAUUCUCUACAUGACACUGUGAAUGCCAAACUGUCUGGAGGCUGCCAUGAGCGGCCAAUUUGUGAUCUCUGCUUUACCUGAAUUAUUUCCGUGAAUUGUGACAUCAACCUCGCCAGAUAAGAAAGAAGACUGAAGUUCAGAGAGGUGAAGGGACUGGCUCAGGGGCUACCCCUAUGGUUGCGGGAGCUAAGAUUCCAGCCCAGCAGCGUGAUCCAGAGCCCAUCUGAGCUACCCAGAUCUUCCUGCUGUUAAACCCGUCCUGGGGCAGCUCUUGCCUGAUGGGCUACCUGAGGAACCCACAGGAAAUCAAGGGAGGUGCCUGCAAAGUUGCCGUGGGGUCACAGCCUGCCCUUUGGAAGGGGCUGUUUCUGGGCUGCUGUGACUUCCUGCCAUUAUUUCCUCUCUGUUCUCCCUCUGGAAUGAAUAAAGUACUUCUGAAAAACCAUCAACCCAGUCGAUACGGAAAUGCUGGUCCCUACAAUAGAAUGCUCUGUGGUCAUUAAAAAGAUUAAAAAGGUCAA
ensembl:lncRNA ZNF341-AS1 ZNF341 antisense RNA 1